GUUGAAUAAGUAUAUUUUCCUUAGACAAUAGGUGCAAAAUGCGUAACGGUAAAACCAACCUAUCCAGGAUUCCAAUAUAAAGUAAAGGUGGUCUCUCUGUGUCUAUAGGGAGGCUUUUGAUUUUUAUAU
rfam:Clostridium kluyveri DSM 555, complete genome.